UUUUUUUUUUUUUUUUUUUCCCAAGGUGAAGAUGGAUUUGUAUUUUGAUUUUUGGAAUUAGUCAUAGUAUUACACCUUGAGAUGCUGUUAUGUCUGGUUGUAGUUUUGAUAAUAUAAGGGAUGUGAGUAAUAUUUACAAUUAAUGUAACCUUUGGAACAGAAUGACUGAUUUCAUCAAUGUGUUAGUGAGUGAAGGUAGCACUGGGCCACUUGAUGUAAGUGUUGGUCACCAUGCUGGCCACACUUAAGGCCAGCACCAACAGUACCUAUUCACUGUUGCAUCACCUGCUCCAUUCAGAAAAAUAUAUUUUGAAAUAAUUUUUUUAUGGAAAUAUCUAUUUUUAUACAUUGAGCUAUGACAUGUUUCCAUACUGUGAAUGAAUGACUUUACCAUCAAGGUGCUUUGUGUUAACUGAACUGUAUUGAUUUUAGUGAUAAUAAAAAAAUAAUAUUUGUAAUAUAGUUAUGUAAUGUAUGUGUAAAUACAUGAAGGAGAAUGAUGCAUCUGGAUAAUUAUUCCACCAGUCUGUGGGUGCAGUGGCAGUCCACCAGCCUCAGCCUGACACAGUGGUGCUUGCUGCACUGUCUGAUGUACCAGAGGAACACUAGAGAGAAACUUGAAUUUUCAUCAUGACAUUUUGCAAUAGAUCACCAGCAACCCUGUGUGUGUGUGUGUGUGUGUGUGUGUGUGUGUUUGGCUAAGAUUUAUAAAGGAUGUAGAUUCUCUCUCUCUCUCUAGAACAGUGCUUCUGUUCUAUACUCAGUGUUGUAAUAAAUUCGUUAAAUAAGCUUAACAUUACAGAUAUACUAAUCAUUAUUGUUGGUAUUGUUGAUUUUUGUUCUUAUUCAUUACUAGCACCGCCACCGUUGGAUGUGUGGCCGGCGGAGCUGUACAGUUCGUAUAAUUAUAACCAAGGGAGAAUUAUAACCGGGGCGGGUUGAGCACUGCGGCGGCGGUGAAUCGUACGGCUGGAGUUUUCUCGUAGAGGCGCAGCGCCCUGCCACUGCCUGCCGCUGUGCACCCGCGCCGCGCCAAGUCAGUGUUGCCGCCAGACCUGAAGGUACGGGUACGUGUCUGUGGGCCUGACUGACGUGUCACUUAGUACUCCAAUACCUUGAUCGCGGCGCGGUGUUUACCAAGGACCCAGCAGAUACCUCGCUUUCAGGAGUGUGUGAAGUGUGGCGAGGAUCUUGCCAUAGCACAUCUCGGGACAUCAGUCCAAGGCUCCCCUCCCAGUCACCUGUCCUUACGUGCCUCGCCUUACCUGCCCUGCCCUGCUUGCUUGCUCGCUCGCUCGCUCGCUCGCUCACUGCUGUUGCUUCUGGCCAGG